CGGAGGAUCCAAGCGUUAUCCGGAUUUAUUGGGUUUAAAGGGUGCGUAGGCGGCCUGUUAAGUCAGGGGUGAAAGACGGUAGCUCAACUAUCGCAGUGCCCUUGAUACUGAUGGGCUUGAAUGUACUAGAGGUAGGCGGAAUGUGACAAGUAGCGGUGAAAUGCAUAGAUAUGUCACAGAACACCAAUUGCGAAGGCAGCUUACUAUGGUAUUAUUGACGCUGAGGCACGAAAGCGUGGGGAUCAAACAGGAUUAGAUACCCUGGUAGUCCACGCCCUAAACGAUGAAUACUCGAUGUUAGCGAUAUACAGUUAGCGUCAAAGACGAAAGCGUUAAGUAUUCCACCUGGGGAGUACGCCCGCAAGGGUG
rnacentral:rRNA from 1 species